rnacentral:ncRNA from 2 species
AACUAUAAAUUUUAGUGGCUUCAUAUAUCCUCGAUAAUAUGGUUCGAGAGUCUCUACCGGGUUGCCGUCAACUACCCGACUAUGAAGGCAGUUCUAUUCCUG